rnacentral:RNase_P_RNA from 1 species
ACAGUGUCUCGGUCUGUCGCUUGCACUUUUGCAAGAGGAAAGUCCGGGCAGCGUAGGGUGCUCCACUUCUUAAUUGGAAGCAGUUGGUGACAGCUGGUUAGGACAGAAGAAAACAACCGCCGUAACAGGUAAGGGUGAGAAGGUGAGGUAAGAGCUCACCAGCCGAUGGGUGAUCAUCGGGCUGUGUCCGCUGGAGGCUGCAAGUUCAUGUAAACUACCGUCUGAGGGCUACCCGUCCGACAGGCUAUUGCUUACGGUAGAGGGUAGAAUGCUACAUAGAAGUAUAAUGGUGACAUUACACUCAGAUAAAUGACAGACGCCACAUUUUUAUCUCCAGCCCUGUGGUACAGAACCCGGCUUAUAGAGACACUGCUUUU